AUUGAACGCUGGCGGCAUGCCUAGCACAUGCAAGUCGAACGGGGUAGCAAUACCCAGUGGCGGACGGGUGAGGAAUACAUAGGAAUUUGCCUUUAGGUGGGGGAUAGCCCGGGGAAACUCGGAGUAAUACCGCAUGAUGUCGAAAGACCAAAGUAGGGGAUCGCAAGACCUUGCGCCUUUAGAGAAGCCUAUGUCUGAUUAGCUAGUUGGUAGGUAAUGGCCUACCAAGGCGACGAUCAGUAACUGGUCUGAGAGGACGAUCAGUCACACCGGAACUGAGACACGGUCCGGACUCCUACGGGAGGCAGCAGUGGGGAAUAUUGGACAAUGGGCGAAAGCCUGAUCCAGCAAUGCCGCGUGUGUGAAGAA
rnacentral:rRNA from 1 species